AUACAAAAGUUCAAUAAAAACUUAUAUAUUUGUAAGAUUAGAGAUACUGAUCUUACUCGAAAUAGUGAAAAAAAAUUUCUAUAAAAAUUCAUCUUAUUUGGAUUGUUUUACACCGUUAAAUUCACAAACGCAUCACAUCUAUCAUUAAAAUUGUCAAUUUUGAGACAUUUUUAUUACUAGCCAAAUGAUGUCGAAAAAUUAUAAAAUUUAGUUUUCAAAUACUUUUAAUAGUGUAGAUCAAGUCUAACAGAGCCGAUCGUCGAUUUGAAAACUGUAUCAUUGAAAUAACUUGGUAGCACGAAGCUCUCUGUGCUACCGAUAGUACACCAGCCUAGUUCUAAUAACUUGCGAUUAAUUUAAUAUACUUGAGAAUUGAGGAAUGUAUCCGCUAAUAGUGUUUUCAGGCGACUCAUUUUCUCUCGCAUCUUUUAUUUGAACUUUUCUACUUUUUUUAUUUGGCUUUCUCUUAAUUCACUU
rnacentral:lncRNA from 1 species